rnacentral:hammerhead_ribozyme from 1 species
AUCCUGCUGACGAGUCCCAAAUAGGACGAAACGCGCGUCAAACUGGNN